GGGUGACCCGCAGCUUGCUCCCUUUUAAUUCACCUGAAUUAAUUACCGACGUUACCGUUAAUAAAGUGUAUCGAGGAAGAAGAGCUUCUCCCUGGAGAUGUUGGAUGUUUCGGGAGGCCGAUGAUUGAUGUGACGUGGAGGAGAGUGAUUGAGCGUUGACCUCUCGACCCUUCUUCUCUUUUCUCUGCUGCAGUUUCCAGGAGCGACCGGAUGUUGCUGCUCGACAGGUGUGAGCUCCCGCUGCGGGACGAGGGCCCCGAGCCCUGGAGCACUCGCCGCCCGGAGGGCGCGCAGGUCGCGCGGCGUUACGCGGCCCGAGCGCUCACCGGCUCCGGUUCAAAGUUGACCCGGUUUCCGGAUCACCAGGACCGAUGUGAUCGGCGCUGCUCGUCGGACUCAUUGACAGACGGGACGUCGGAGUGUCUUGGUGACCUGUAGUGGUUUUGUGUGCAGUGACACAAGAGGAGGACGAGGCCUCGUCUUCCACUGCGUGAUGAGACAUCUCUACUCCGUCAAAGGCUCAUGUUUUAUGGAUUCCUGUCCCGUGUUGUGGUCUCGCGUUGGGGGGGGGGGGGCACACAGGUAAGAGAGUACAUGUUGGAAGUGGCCACGGGGAUCAUGCAUCUUGGAUAGCUGUGCGAGCUGUAAUGGCUUACAUCCUCCCCCCUCGAGGCCGGCCCACCUUUUUAACGUUUUUGCUCACAGAUGGGGCGAAAAGGUUCCCCCCCUCCCUGUCCCCCCUCACCCCCCGCUUCCAUGUGACCUCUGUUGAAUGUAAAAAACUGUGACACAAAGUGGCACAGUUUCAUAUUUGUUUAGCGGUGAUGCGGCGGCGUAAUGGCGCGGCUCCGGUAUCCACAUCACCGCAGGCGGAGCGCCGGGGGACGACCUGGGAUCACCGUGCUGCUGAUUUAUGCAUGAACCAUGUGCUCACUUUGCCGGGACAGACGGAGCCGGCGGUGACAGAGGAGACGUUUCGGACGGGAAGACGUCCUCUCAUUUCAUUCCGCCCCCACAAAGACAUUACGUAUCCUCGCGUUCAUAGCAGAUACCUGCCUGCCGCCGCCGUCUGUCACGUGAAAACACGUUAAACGCCUGAAACUUGUUGCUUUCCUCCCGGCGGCUACGGUCCCCGCAUCGACGUCCUUUUUACGAUAGUUGACAUUAUUUUAAAUAAGCAAUCGGAAAACAUGGGAUCGCUUUGUGCAUCUGUCUGCAGCCGGUCCGCUCAUGACUAAUGCACGAGCGCUCAGCCGAGGCUCCGUCCCAGGCGACCACAACGCGCUCCCACAUGCAGGCCGCACAAACACGUGGCGUUAAUACUGAGCAUGUGAUGUUUGUCACCGCCCACUUGGUGGUAUGGGUUCCAUAAGAAGCCCGGGGAGUGGGGAGUGGGCGGGUCAGAGGAAUGGGUCAGAUUGACCUCUAACGACCUCCGCGCGUUCACAGAUCGUAGUGACGGGUGAUGAUGCGCCGCACCUCCACCGGGGAGCAUCUUGACUGAAUGUAGCAAAGCUCGGUCGUGGACAUGAGCUCAGUGGUGCUUUAGAGGGAAAAGGCCCACCGAUGGCAGAGCCGAGCUCGCUCAUGCGUCGUUAUUUGAAAACGCAGGAAAUCUCCAUGUAAAUCUGGCCCCUCGGAGCAUCUCCGUCCCUGUUUGUCUUGACAGCGCCCUCCUUAAGCAGGCCAUGUAUCCAUAUUUGAAGGCGCCACCGGCUGCGUAGGUAAAGAUGGGAAUUUGUAGUGACAAGGGGAGGGCAUCAGCACAACAGAGGUACUUAAGGAAGGAGACAACCUCUUCCACUGAAGGCAAAUGAGACUUGUCAUCCGGCAGUUGGUGCAGUAAUUAUAAAGGGUGCGUUGAAUUUCCCAGGGAUUCCAGGAGAAUGGCAUAAUGGAGAAAACACUAAGAAUUUUAUAAGCCAUGCUGAGGGGGAAAUAAGACGGAAAAAUCCAACAUCCUUUUAAAGUCAGCUUUUACCAAAGGAACGUUGAAGGUGUCCGUGCAGCCGGCGUCUGGCUGCACAGCGAUGCAUGACGCUGGGUUCAUGCUUUCAUACUGCAGAGGUUUUGUUUUGACCAGAAAUGACCUCAACACGCAGGUGGAAAGACGGCGUGCUGGUUAAAAUGCUCCCGUCGGACGCGUGGGAGUGCAGAUGUUUCCCCGUGACAGUGUGAAAGGAAGAGUGUUUUCAUCGUGGUGUUGAUUGUAUAAUUUUCUAAUCAAGACAGCAGUCAUGUCAAGUGCAUUGAUCCUUUCUAAUUAAAACCCUGUUAUUAAUAUACAAUAUUUGACGUUGGAUUUAGCUUUAAACCUCCAGUGUUUAAAACCUGCAGUCGAGCCUGCGUCAACGACCUGAUGGAUUUGAAUAACUCCUCGAUGCCGUUUCACAGGCUUUUCCACCGUCCAAUUCAUCGGUAAAGAACUGGAUAUUUAAACAGGUUUAACAUCAUCUUUUAUCAGCAGUGUCAAAUAACUGAAUACAUGUAAAUGCUUUGAAGCACCCACGUAGUCGGUAUCCUGCAGCUGUACCGGUGCAUCUCUACCUCCUCCUCUGAACAUCUCCCCAGGCCAACACUGUGAACCUUAUUAGGAGCUGGUUAAAUAUGAAUUAAAGCUAAGCUAGCUGUUUACCUAGCGCUGAAAUAGACCUCCAGCCUUUUCGCGGGGGGUUUAUUUUUUUUUCCAUAGAUCGAUGUGUACUUGUGUUUGUUUCCUCUCCAGAAGCCUUCAUGUGUAUUUGAGUCUGACAGUUACAUCUGCUCGGGGAUGCUCCGCCUCCGGCAGCAUCAGUGAAACCGCCGCCGACUUCGCCUCGCAUCCCAUCGGAGAACAGGAGUGACCUUUGACCCGGGAUCUGUGUGCAGCCACCGUCCUCCUCCGAGCGGCGAGCCCUCAGCCUGUGUGGAGGAACGCAGAGGUGAACGUGUUCACUUCCUCCUAAUUUCAGUGGAUAUGAUUCGUGAAGAACUUGUAGAAUAUAUUUCAUCCCCCAGUCGAGUGUCCUUUCCACCUCCCGCAUGUCCAUUAAAGCCACAACAAAG
ensembl:lncRNA